UACGGGGGGGGCAAGCGUUGUUCGGAUUAUUGGGCGUAAAGAGCGUGUAGGCGGCUUUGCAAGUCCGUUGUGAAAACUCGAGCUCAACCUCGAGACGCCGGUGGAAACUGCAAAGCUAGAGUCCGGAAGAGGAGAGUGGAAUUCCUGGUGUAGCGGUGAAAUGCGCAGAUAUCAGGAAGAACACCCGUGGCGAAGGCGGCUCUCUGGGACGGUAC
rnacentral:rRNA from 1 species